rnacentral:rRNA from 1 species
AACAGGUUAAUAUUCCUGUACUUGGUGUUACUGCGAAGGGGGGACGGAGAAGGCUAUGUUGGCCGGGCGACGGUUGUCCCGGUUUAAGCGUGUAGGCUGGUUUUCCAGGCAAAUCCGGAAAAUCAAGGCUGAGGCGUGAUGACGAGGCACUACGGUGCUGAAGCAACAAAUGCCCUGCUUCCAGGAAAAGCCUCUAAGCAUCAGGUAACAUCAAAUCGUACCCCAAACCGACACAGGUGGUCAGGUAGAGAAUACCAAGGCGCUUGAGAGAACUCGGGUGAAGGAACUAGGCAAAAUGGUGCCGUAACUUCGGGAGAAGGCACGCUGAUAUGUAGGUGAAGUCCCUUGCGGAUGGAGCUGAAAUCAGUCGAAGAUACCAGCUGGCUGCAACUGUUUAUUAAAAACACAGCACUGUGCAAACACGAAAGUGGACGUAUACGGUGUGACGCCUGCCCGGUGCCGGAAGGUUAAUUGAUGGGGUCAGCGCAAGCGAAGCUCUUGAUCGAAGCCCCGGUAAACGGCGGCCGUAACUAUAACGGUCCUAAGGUAGCGAAAUUCCUUGUCGGGUAAGUUCCGACCUGCACGAAUGGCGUAAUGAUGGCCAGGCUGUCUCCACCCGAGACUCAGUGAAAUUGAACUCGCUGUGAAGAUGCAGUGUACCCGCGGCAAGACGGAAAGACCCCGUGAACCUUUACUAUAGCUUGACACUGAACAUUGAGCCUUGAUGUGUAGGAUAGGUGGGAGGCUUUGAAGUGUGGACGCCAGUCUGCAUGGAGCCGGCCUUGAAAUACCACCCUUUAAUGUUUGAUGUUCUAACGUGGACCCGUGAUCCGGGUUGCGGACAGUGUCUGGUGGGUAGUUUGACUGGGGCGGUCUCCUCCUAAAGAGUAACGGAGGAGCACGAAGGUUGGCUAAUCCUGGUCGGACAUCAGGAGGUUAGUGCAAUGGCAUAAGCCAGCUUGACUGCGAGCGUGACGGCGCGAGCAGGUGCGAAAGCAGGUCAUAGUGAUCCGGUGGUUCUGAAUGGAAGGGCCAUCGCUCAACGGAUAAAAGGUACUCCGGGGAUAACAGGCUGAUACCGCCCAAGAGUUCAUAUCGACGGCGGUGUUUGGCACCUCGAUGUCGGCUCAUCACAUCCUGGGGCUGAAGUAGGUCCCAAGGGUAUGGCUGUUCGCCAUUUAAAGUGGUACGCGAGCUGGGUUUAGAACGUCGUGAGACAGUUCGGUCCCUAUCUGCCGUGGGCGCUGGAGAACUGAGGGGGGCUGCUCCUAGUACGAGAGGACCGGAGUGGACGCAUCACUGGUGUUCGGGUUGUCAUGCCAAUGGCACUGCCCGGUAGCUAAAUGCGGAAGAGAUAAGUGCUGAAAGCAUCUAAGCACGAAACUUGCCCCGAGAUGAGUUCUCCCUGACCCUUUAAGGGUCCUGAAGGAACGUUGAAGACGACGACGUUGAUAGGCCGGGUGUGUAAGCGCAGCGAUGCGUUGAGCUAACCGGUACUAAUGAACCGUGAGGCUUAACCUU